UACGAACCGUGCGAACGUUAUUCGGAAUCACUGGGCUUAAAGGGCGCGUAGGCGGGCUCGCAGGUCAGGGGUGAAAGCCCACGGCUCAACCGUGGAAGUGCCUUUGAUACCGUGAGUCUCGAGGGAGGUAGGGGCGUGCGGAACUUCCGGUGGAGCGGUGAAAUGCGUAGAUAUCGGAAGGAACAUCGGUGGCGAAAGCGGCGCGCUGGACCUCUUCUGACGCUGAGGCGCGAAAGCCAGGGGAGCAAACGGG
rnacentral:rRNA from 1 species